UCGAUAUCCAAAGACCGAGAGAGAUCUCGACUCUUUUACACCGCGAACAGUAAGAAGGAUUGGGGGUCGCCCCGUAGAGGGCGUCAAACGGCGAGAGCUUGGACUGACUGUAGUAGUCGUCGUCGAUUCUCGCGGCCCCCAACGUUAUUUACAUUUUUUUCACAAACAAAAAUACACAACUGUGCCAACAGAAAUCACCUGAGCCGUCUCCGGACGACUUGGAAAAAAAUUAAAAGUUCAUAACUUUUAACGGUGGAUCUCUUGGCUCGUGCAUCGAUGAAGAACGCAGCCAGGUGCGAUAAUUAGUGUGAAUUGCAGAAUUCAGUGAAUCAUCGAAUCUUUGAACGCAAAUGGCGCUCUUGGGUUUUCCCAGGAGCACGUCUGUCUGWGUGUSGGUUUGCAAAMAAAAAUACCAACGCGYGMGUAMCUGCSKGCGGGGGGGAGGGGUCGCGGCCCGCUGCUUCAUUGAGAUCGAUCGGCGUGCUUCGUCCAAUGAAAGCCAGCACGACCGAACGGCGUGACUCUGGGUCGCUUCGUUGGGGGAGAACAAAAGCAAAAACUCUUUCCUUCAUGGAGGUGGGGUCGGUCACACCGCGUGGGUUGAGUGAGUCAGUCGAGCACACCUAGUGUGCUCGUCGGACGGACCACGACAACAUUCUUGACCUCAGAUCAGGCGAGACUACCCGCUGAAUUUAAGCAUAUUAAUAAGCGGAGGAAAAGAAACUACC
rnacentral:rRNA from 1 species